rnacentral:rRNA from 1 species
UCUCCGUUGGUGAACCAGCGGAGGGAUCAUUGCUGGAACGCGCCCCAGGCGCACCCAGAAACCCUUUGUGAACUUAUACCUUACUGUUGCCUCGGCGCUAGCUGGUCCUUCGGGGCCCCUCACCCUCGGGUGUUGAGACAGCCCGCCGGCGGCCAACCCAACUCUUGUUUUUACACUGAAACUCUGAGAAUAAAACAUAAAUGAAUCAAAACUUUCAACAACGGAUCUCUUGGUUCUGGCAUCGAUGAAGAACGCAGCGAAAUGCGAUAAGUAAUGUGAAUUGCAGAAUUCAGUGAAUCAUCGAAUCUUUGAACGCACAUUGCGCCCUCUGGUAUUCCGGAGGGCAUGCCUGUUCGAGCGUCAUUUCAACCCUCAAGCCUGGCUUGGUGAUGGGGCACUGCUUUUACCCAAGAGCAGGCCCUGAAAUUCAGUGGCGAGCUCGCCAGGACCCCGAGCGCAGUAGUUAAACCCUCGCUCUGGAAGGCCCUGGCGGUGCCCUGCCGUUAAACCCCCAACUUCUGAAAAUUUGACCUCGGAUCAGGUAGGAAUACCCGCUGAACUUAA